GUUUCGCCGCGGGCUGGGAGACCGGUACCAAGGCGAGGCAAACUCUGAAUACGGCUAAAAAAACUACCAGUGAGACGGUGGGGGAUAAGCUUCAUCGUCAAGAGGGAAACAGCCCAGACCACCAGCUAAGGUCCCCAAAUGAUAACUAAGUGAGAAAGGAGGUGGGAGUGCAUUGACAACCAGGAGGUUUGCCUAGAAGCAGCAACCCUUAAAAGAGUGCGUAAUAGCUCACUGGUCAAGCGCUCCUGCGCCGAAAAUGAACGGGGCUAAGUUAUCUACCGAAGCUGUGGACUACAUUGUAGUGGUAGGGGAGCGUUCUAUAGGGGGUGAAGCAGUAGCGGCAAGCAGCUGUGGACUCUAUAGAAGUGAGAAUGUCGGCUUAAGUAGCGAAAAUGUGGGUGAGAAUCCCACACCCCGAAACCCCAAGGUUUCCUCCGCAAGGCUCGUCCGCGGAGGGUCAGUCAGGACCUAAGGCGAGGCUGAAAAGCGUAGUCGAUGGACAACGGGUUAACAUUCCCGUACCGAUUAAUGAUUGUGCCGGAGAACGGAGAAGGUCAACGUCAGCUGGAUGUUGGUUACCAGUGCAAGCAGUCGAGGCGAUGAGAGGUGGCGAAAACACCAGGAGCUAAGACGCGAGUCCCACCUCCCACGGGAGGGAAGUGGCGCUGAUCAAGCUUCCUAGAAAAGCCCGAACCACGUUAAUCAUUAAUUGCCUGUACCCGAAACCGACACAGGUGGGGAAGUAGAGAAUACUAAGGGGCGCGAGAUAACUCUCUCUAAGGAACUCGGCAAAAUGACCCCGUA
rnacentral:rRNA from 1 species